GGGCCUGUAGCUCAGGGGAUAGAGCAACGGCCUCCUAAGCCGUAGGUCGGCCGUUCGAAUCGGCCCAGGUCCG
rnacentral:tRNA from 1 species